UACGUAGGGCGCAAGCGUUAUCCGGAAUUAUUGGGCGUAAAGGGCGCGUAGGCGGCCUUCUAAGUCAGACGUGAAAUCCCCCGGCUUAACCUGGGAACUGCGUCUGAUACUGGGAGGCUAGAGUGCGGGAGAGGGAUGCGGAAUUCCAGGUGUAGCGGUGAAAUGCGUAGAUAUCUGGAGGAACACCGGUGGCGAAGGCGGCAUCCUGGACCGACACUGACGCUGAGGCGCGAAAGCUAGGGUAGCAAACGGG
rnacentral:rRNA from 1 species